rnacentral:lncRNA from 1 species
CUUUCUGUUUCUAUGAAUUUGACUACCCUGGAUACCUCAAAUAAGUGGCGUCAUACAGUAUUUGUCUUUUUAUAACUGGCUUGUUUCCGUUAGUGUAAUGUCUUCAAGGUUAAUCCACAUUGCAGCAUAUGUCAGAAUUUCCUACCUUUUAAAGGCUGAAUAAUAUUCUGUUAUUUGUGUAAACCACAUUUUCUUUAUCCAUUCAGGACAUUUGGGUUACUUUCACCUUUUGGUUAUUGUAAAUAAUGCUGCCAUGAACAUGGGUGUGCAGAUACCACUUCAAGACCCUGCUUUCAGUUCUUUUGCAUAUGUACCUAGAAGUAGGGUUGCUGGAUCAUAUGGUAAUUCUAUUUGUAAUAUGUUGAGGAACUGUUUUACUGUUUUCCAUAGGUAUAUGCACUAUUUUACUUUCCCAUCAGUAGUGCACAAGGGUUCCAAUUUCUCCAUAUCCUCAUUUACGUUUGUUAUUUUGUGUCUUUUUUUUUAUUUUUUUGAGACAGAGUCUCACUCUGUUGCCCAGGCGGAGGUUGCAGUGAGCUGAGAUUGUGCCACUGCACUCCAGCCUGGGUGAAAGAGCAAGACUCUGUCUCAAAAAAAAAAAAAAAAAAAAAGGAAAGAAAAUACAGUAGUCUCCCCGCUCCCCCCACAACCACUUAUCAGCAGUUUUGCUUUCUAUGGUUUGUUGCCCACAGUCAACUGCAGUCUGAAAAUGUUAAAUGGAAAAUUCCAGAAAUAAACAAUUCAUAAGUUUAAAAUUGCAUGCUGUUUUGAGUAGUGUGAUGAAAUCUCACACAGUCCUGCUUCGUCUUACUUGGGAUGCAAAUCAUCCCUUUGUCCAGUGUAUCCACACUGUGUAUGGUACCUGCCUGUUAGUCACUUAGUAGCCAUCUCAUUUAUCAGAUUGACUGUCAUGAUAUUGUAGUGCUGUGUUCAGUUAACCCUUAUUUUAUAUAGUAAUGGCCCCAAGGAGGAGGAGCAGUGACGCUGGAAUAUUGUUAUAAUUGUUCUUUUUUUAAAAUUAGUUAUUAUUGUCGAUCUCUUACUGUGUCUUAUAAAUUAAACUUUUUUAUAGGCAUGUAUGUGUAGGAAAAAAACAUAGUAUAUAUAUAGGGUUCAGUACUAUCCCUGGAUUCAGGCAUCCACUGGGGCUCUUGGAACUUAUGCCCCAUGGAUAAGGGGAGACUACUGUAUCUUUAUUUCUCCCUUAUUCUUGAAUGAUAGUUUUGCUGGAUAUAUAGAAUUCUGGACAGUUAUGUUUCCCUCAGUAUGUUAAAGAUACUAUUUCACUAUCUGUCUGCUAUCAUAGCCAUUGAGAAUUCAGUUGACAUAAUUGCCUUUAUUUUAUAGGUGACAUUUUCUCUCCAGUUGUUUUUUUAGGUCUCCUUUUUGUUGUUUGUUCUGUAGUUUCACCAAAAUGUUUGUAGGUAUAUGGAUCUCUAUUCUGCUUUGAGUUUUUGGACUUCUUGGGAGUGACAUUUGUUGUUGUCUAACAGUUCUAAAAAGCCAUUACCUUCUCAAAUAUUGUUUCUUUUCUGUAUUUCUAUUAGUUUUCUUCUGGAACUACAAUUAGAUGUAUGUAAUAUUGUUUGAGGCUGAGCCAAGUAGUGUACUGUGAUUAAGUUUACUUUCUGGUACAACUUUUUGUGUCUCCUAAAUGUAAUGUCUCAUUUAGCCUCAUUUUUUUCAUUUGCUUCAGUUUUUAUGUAGCUAUUGUUAUUUCUUUCCAUCAUUAACACGUUCUCAGUACAGUUUUUCACAUAGGGUCAAACCUGUUAAUCUGUUCAGUGUGACCAUUUUCCUUGAGGAUUUCCUCCCAUGCUAGUGUUUAGAAUUGGCUGCUUGCUAUACCAGGUGUGCAGCUAUCAUCCUGUGUUCUCCCUUCAGCAUCAUUUUGGAAAUUCCUAUUGCUUGUCUCCUGUGUUGAUUCCCUUGUUUUGUGGAUCUCAUUCAUUUACAACACACCUUCCACUAGCUUGCUGGAAAAAAAAAAAAGUACAAAGGAGAUAAAUUUUGAGACCUUGAAUGUUUGAGAAUGUCUUUAUUCUACCUUUUUUGAAAAAAAAAUUGAUAAUUUGUCUAGGUCUUAAGUUCUAAUAUGAAAUAAUUUUUUUUCUCAGAAUUUGGAAAGAAUUUCUCCAUUGCCUUUUAGUUUAUCACUGAGAUUAUUGCUAACCCCAAUGCCAUUCUGGUUUCUGUUACGUUGUCAUCAAUCUGUUUAUUUUUUCUUUUCUAGAAUCCUUGGAAUUUUUUUUUAUUUGUCCUUGCUAUUCUGCAGUUCAAUAAUAACAUGUUGGGAUACCAAAUGGGUCUUACUUAGUUUAGAGACUCUUCAAGUCUGGAAAACUUCUUGUGUUAUUCUCUGGCAACGUCUUCCUAUCUUAUUUAUUAAUUUUUUUCUUUUUUUCACAUGUUGGAAUUGAUUACUCAUGUAAUGUUUUACAUUUUUUUCUUUCAUGGUCUUUCUUUUGUUCUUUUUUUGUAGAAAAUAUCUUGACUUUAUCUUCCAACUCUUUAAUGUUUUCUUUCUUUCUUUCUUUUUUCUUGAGACAGGGUCUGGCUCUGUCGCCCAGGCUGGAGUGCAAUGGCACGAUCUCAGCACUCUGCAACCUCCACCUCCCGGGUUCAAGUGAUUCUCCUGCCUCAGCCUCCUGAGUAGCUAGGAUUACAGGUGCCUACUACCACACCUGGCUAAUUUUUGUAUUUUUAGUGGAGACAAAGUUUCACUAUGUUGGCCAGGCUGGUCUCGAACUCCUGACCUCAGGUGAUCCACCCGCCUGGGCUUCUCAAAGAAAAAAAAAAAAAAAAAAAAAAAAAAAGUUGUAU